UAAACUACGUUGAAAAGGAAUAGUACGGUUUUUGAAGCGAACAGAGAGCUGUUGGACGGUGCGAAACAGCCGCGGAGAAGAUCGGAACUCGCCUUGGAGUUGCCCGCUGAACCCGUAAAGUAGGCGGAGCCGGAGCCCUGACCGUUAUCAUCAGGAGGAUGCAGGAUUGUCCGUUUUUUACAAUCCCGUAUCCGUAGAGUGCAUGCCGACGACGGCGUGAAUUCGGAGUGGUACCGCGUAAGAUGUCAAAGUCUUUCGUCUCUGUU
rnacentral:ncRNA from 1 species